ensembl:lncRNA
AUGACACCCGGUUGCCAAGCCCUCCCUCCACGCGCGCUCGCUCGGUGGAGACGACAGCGAGGGAAAAUCGCGGUGUGGUGGCUGAACCGAGCGUGGGAGACGGGUGUCUUUCAGGGCAUCUUUGAGGAACAGCGCCUUCCUCCCGAGGGGCUUUUAACUGUCAUUUUGCUGCAUGACCUCAGUAGCAGAAACCUGCAGAUACUGACAUUACAAUAAAGAGACAACGGUCAUGAAGCUUCACAUGAAACAUGUGGAUAUGUAACAGUAAGAUAUGUUUUUUCUCUCUCUCUCUGUCCAGCAAAGUGUACUAUUUUGCUGUCAAACUCAAUGCUCUUGUAAAUUGAUUCCUCACUCACCCCUUGAAACCUAUUGCAAGAGAACAUUUGUGUGGGGGGCAUUUGUUUUUAGCAAAGCUUCUUGCACUGUUCACUUUCUUAUACAGUAUAUGUGUGUGUAUAUAU